rnacentral:rRNA from 1 species
AAUACAUGCAAGUCGAACGAUAGUGAGAAGCUUGCUUCUCACGAAAGUGGCGCACGGGUGCGUAACGCGUAUGCAACCUACCUCAAUCAGGGGGAUAGCCCGAAGAAAUUCGGAUUAACACCGCAUAAAAACACAGUACAGCAUUGUACAAUGUUCAAAUAUUUAUAGGAUUGAGAUGGGCAUGCGUGUCAUUAGCUAGUUGGCGGGGUAACGGCCCACCAA